ACCAACCAUAUAUUAUUUCUCUUUAAACAUCGUAGAAAUGUAAUAAACUAAGUCUUUGUUCCAAGGUCGAAUGAAUCUCUGAAAGAUAGGUUCUUUAACAGGUCGACGUCACCGAUGGUGUUGUGUAUCACGCCAGAGAUCGAUUUGAAAACAAGUCUAGAGCUUUAAGGUUUCAGAGUAGAGUAAUUUAAGUGGGUAUUGAUCCUUUUAUCAGAUUAUCUGAUAAAUCGAUGAAUCUGAGAUCCGACUGGAACAUUUUAGGGAUGUUGCCAGAGAGAGAUUCGCGUGGGAGAUGGUAAGGAAAACAAUUUUGUGCAUGUAUCCGAGGAUGACGAAGAGACCAGAGGUGGAAACAUGACAGUUGAGGAAAGAGAGAGAGACGAGAGAUAAGCAGAGAGCUUUGAGUAAUGUGGAGGUGAUUGAGAGAUCAGAGGAGCAGUUUGUGAAGGAGAUGGAGGUGCGAGGACACAAUCAAGUUAUUACAAUAAGAGGUAAAUAUUGAGACUUCCAAUUCUAGGCUUCAGUUCUUUAUUGAUACAUUUAGUUUUGGUUCUGGCAAGCUUUGAACAUUUGCGUUAACAGCAUCUGAUUCUCACUUAGGUUUCUGUUCUCUGUGAAGGUGUUGUCCAGUUUCUUUUUUGAUUGACCAAAACAAGAGAGUUAAUUUUUUUUACAGAAUGGUGAUAUUUGUUAUCCCAAAUUUAAUCAUUGAAGUCAAAAGUAGCGUAACUGCAGUCAGUAAACACUAGAAUAUUGACGGAUGGUAUUAAUUUCGACCCUCGAUUCUAUGUUCUCCAUACUUUGGUGUUGUGUUUGAAAUUUUAUCUAUGUACAUAGAUGUAUAAUGGUGUUAUCAACAGAAAAAGCAAAGAUUGUGAUGUCUGAGGCACUGAGCAACACAACAAUGAGAAAACAUAAGAGUUAAUUUUAUUUACGUGUAUGUAUACCACUGGACCUACAAGCUUUACUCCUUAUAUCAAGUAAAAAGCUCGAGUUCAAGGUGUGGGAUCAUAUUAUUACGUGUCUAUAGACCAAAACACCUUACUCCAUUUAUCAUUUAUCUCUCUAUUACGUUCUUUUGCAAGUGGGAAACACAAAAACUGUGUUGUGUGUUUUGUGCACGCAGAGUGGAGCCACUUGUCUGCAAAGAGUACCUUCCCAAACAACAUGUUAUUGUUCCUUACCACAGAGGUGGCAAGCAGUUGCCCAUUGGAUUACAGGAUUUUAAAGAGGAUUUUGCGGCGCGUUAACACAGAGUAAUGAAAUGGUGUUGAUUCUAUACGGGUCGUGAAGUAUUAUACCUACUCAAACUUUUCUGCAAACUCUCAGCUAUUUGUGUCUGCAUUUUGUCAUCUGAUAUCUUCCCCGGAAGACACAUUUGUGUAUGCAUUUGAUUCGUAUACUCUCAAACAUUUUGAUGGUUUCUUUCUCCAGUGACCUGAUUGCAUUUCCAAAUGAUCAAAUAUGCCGAUUCAUCUACAUGAGUUUUGAUAUUACCAUGGAAAAGCAAAGUUCGUCACACUUGGGCUUCAUCUUUGUCUAUAUUGUAUUCUCUUACGCAGGUUCUAUUGGUUUGGAAUUCAGCACUUUUGUAGUUUGUAUACAAUUUUUAUGGUUAACCUUUUUUAAAAAAUCUUUUGUGGCGAAGCACAGCUGUUCAUCGUAAUUGCUAGGUAGAUUGGAAGCUGUUUUCACUUCAGAAUCUUUUCACAUCAUGGUUUGGAUCUUUUCUAUCAUGUUUUCACUUAGCUGUUCAUC